AACCUGUGAGAUAACAUAGAAUCAUCACAGUAAAGUUUUCAGGUGACACAAAAAUUGGAGAAGUGGUAAAUAGUGAAGGGGACAGGUCAUGGAUAC